rnacentral:lncRNA from 1 species
UUUCUCUGGUUUUGGUUGCCAUAGUUUGAUGGCUGCAACACACAUUUAAUGGUAUCUAGACACUAAUAGAACAAAUUUGUCCAAGUCUGGUUGCAAUGGCCUGGUAGUUUCUUUCUAAAAGUCAACAGGAGACAACAAAUAAUCAAAACCACAUUAGAAGAACAUUGCACCUUUGUAUCAGGUGAGCUUAAAAGGCCCAGACAUCUGUGAACAUUUGUAAACUACUAUUGCCUUAAAAGACCCAGACAUCUUUGAACACUUGUAAACUACUAUUGCCUUAAUCAGGUGAGCCUUAAAAGACCCAGACAUCUGUGAACAUUUGUAAACUACUAUUGCCUUAAUCAGUGGCGGAUCCAGAAAUUUUCAUAAGUGGGGGCCCACUGACAGACCUAAGAGGGGGGCCGCUCCAGUCACGCUUCAGUGAGUCCCUAUAUAAGCAACCAAAUCUUUUCCCAAAAUGGGGGGGGGGCCCUGCCCCCCUAAAUCGCCUCUGUUAAUCAGGUGAGCCUUAAAAGACCCAGACAUCUGUGAACAUUUGUAAACUACUAUUGCCUUAUUUUUCUCAAUCCAUC